ensembl:lncRNA
GAACCACAGCACAGAGAACCAGCUCCAUGCUGAGCUCAAGGCAGAGUGGCAGAGGCGGAGCGACGCGUCUCUGACCUCAGCACGGGAGCUGCACCAGCGUGCUCUGUCUGAGCUGAUGGAGCAAAGAGAUGUGCUGGAGGACACCGUGUCCCAGCUACACAGCCAGGUGGCUGAGGUCCAGAGAAGAGCGAGAUCUGAGAAACAGCAUCUAGAGAUGCGAUUGGUUGAGUUAGAGCAGAAGCUGUUUGAACAAACCAAUGAGGAGGCAGCUGCCACACAGCUCAAGCAGGUGAUGAACAGAGUGUUCCACUCACUGAGAGAGGAGUUUGACCUGCAGGAGACCUACACCGGAAGCACCAUCCUGAAGCUGGCUGUCAACACCAUCAAGAGUGUCACCCUGCACUUCCUAGCUGAUCUGAAUGACAUCCCAGCAGAGGCAGAUGAUGAAAGAGAGGAGGAGGAAGGUGGUGACGCAUCUCUUCAAGAGUCCCUGUGGGACAGUAAGACAGAGGAACAGGUGGUGAGUGAGGAGAAAAGUAAACACUCAAAGGAGGUAGACGUAAAUGCAACCACAACCACAAAUGCGCAAGAAGAGAUGUCAAAUAAGCACACUACUGACGGGUCUGCGAAUGGUGUGGUGGAGUCCCAGGAGUCCUCAGGCACAGAAGAGAUCUCCGUGGACACCCAAACAACACCAGCAGGAGAUAUCUCCAUGGACACCCAGACAACACCAGCAGGAGAGAUCUCCAUGGACACACAGACAACACCAGCAGGAGAGUCAACUCCCUCAGCCCAAACAAAGCAAUCAGAUCCGCUUCAAGAUAAUCAGCAAUCAGCAAUUCACCAAUCAUAAAUGCUAUUUGUGACCCAACAAAACAUCAGGCUAGGUCUUUCACAAGGUCAUUCAGGUGUGACUCAGGAUGUCACUUGUUUGAACUCCACUGAAGCUUCUAGUCACCACUGAUUUGGAGGUCAUGAGCGAUUUGGUCCUGGAGAGGUGUUUGGUAAAGAGAGACGACUCCUCCAUGGUUGAGGAAUAACUGUUAAUGUCUGCAAUGAAGAAUCAC